rnacentral:rRNA from 1 species
GAUGAACGCUGGCGGCGUGCCUAAUACAUGCAAGUCGAGCGAACGGACGAGAAGCUUGCUUCUCUGAUGUUGGCGGCGGACGGGUGAGUAACACGUGGAUAACCUACCUAUAAGGCUGGGAUAACUUCGGGAAACCGGAGCUAAUACCGGAUAAUAUUUUGAACCGCAUGGUUCAAAAGUGAAAGACGGUCUUGCUGUCACUUAUAGAUGGAUCCGCGCUGCAUUAGCUAGUUGGUAAGGUAACGGCUUACCAAGGCAACGAUGCAUAGCCGACCUGAGAGGGUGAUCGGCCACACUGGAACUGAGACACGGUCCAGACUCCUACGGGAGGCAGCAGUAGGGAAUCUUCCGCAAUGGGCGAAAGCCUGACGGAGCAACGCCGCGUGAGUGAUGAAGGUCUUCGGAUCGUAAAACUCUGUUAUUAGGGAAGAACAUAUGUGUAAGUAACUGUGCACAUCUUGACGGUACCUAAUCAGAAAGCCACGGCUAACUACGUG